rnacentral:rRNA from 1 species
GAGAGUGGGUAGUCCGCACGAGCGCACCUUGUCCUAUGUUGCCAGCGGAUAAUGCCGGGGACUCGUAGGAGACUGCCGGGGUCAACUCGGAGGAAGGUGGGGACGACGUCAAGUCAUCAUGCCCCUUAUAUCCAGGGCUGCAAACAUGCUACAAUGGCCGGUACAGAGGGCAGCAAAACCGCGAGGUUGAGCGAAUCCCACAAAGCCGGUCUCAGUUCGGAUUGGAGUCUGCAACUCGACUCCAUGAAGGCGGAGUCGCUAGUAAUCCCGGAACAGCAACGCCGGGGUGAAUACGUUCCCGGGCCUUGUACACACCGCCCGUCACACCACGAAAGUCAGCAACACCCGAAGUCAGUGGCCUAACUCUUAGGAGAAGGAGCUGCCGAAGGUGGGGUCGGCGAUUGGGGUGAAGUCGUAACAAGGUAGCCGUACCGGAAGGUGCGGCUGGAUCACCUCCUUUCU